rnacentral:lncRNA from 1 species
GCUCCUAUGGGUUCAAGAGGUGGCUCUCACCAAAUUCGUUGGUAUAGCACUUUGCCCCGCAUAUCACUUAGCUCUCACACUUCCGGCUGUUAUUCGGCUCUGAUACCAAUUAUAACGACCCAACCCGCUAGUAAUUAUAACUCGUUACGCCAAAUCACCGGUCCAAAAUGAUUAAGCCUAGUUAUUAUUAUUAGUGUAUAGAUCUCAUAUAUUCUAAUCAGAAUUAGUUUUUCAUCUGAUGUGAGACUAUUGAGACGUUAUAACUGUAUUGAAAUAUCAAUGCACUGCACGAAUAUACUGUUAGUAGGUUAUUUUAGUU